UUGUAAGGAAAGCAUGAGUCCCGUUCAUGCUUACGUUCAGUGCAGCAUUGGGCCAUUGUGGCGUCAAAGAGGAGAGGGUGCAGUUUACGGGGAACCCGAGUGCCUCUUUGCACGGAUAAAUUUGGAGUUGGUGGCUCAGGGCUGGGCUUCCAUCACCGCGAAGAUACAGCUAUAGGGCUGGGACCAUGCAGGCAAUGGCAGGUGAUGGUUGCCCAACAGCAUCCCACACCUCGAUCCCAGCUGAGAAGAACCACGGCUGGGACCAGCACCACUCCUCGGUUCCCUGUUCCCUCCCCAAGGGCUCACCUCUCCAUCCAGUUGAUGGAAACCACAAGCCACCAAGAAGUGAGGUCUAAGUGUCCCAGGCUGUUGUCGCAUGCUUUUAAACCUGAGACCUGCGGGGACUUUUAGGAUGUUUGUGAAAAACAACCAAGCGUGUAUGGUCAAUAGGUUGAAAUUCAGAAUAGGAAGGUCCAUGACUACGCUGAAAGAUGUCCAAGGACCAGCCAACUGAAAAUCCAUCGUGAGAUGGCAAGGAUUUCUGAGUUCUCUGAACCAGGAAUGAAAAUGAUCAGGAGAUGAAAGAUAUCUUGAUGAAAGAUGAGGAUCUGCUCUUGAUGGACAUCUCAAGGAGGUCUGUCUUCAGCUGUGGGAGCCAGGCUGAGUUUCCAUAUCUCUUGCUGGAGCUCUGCACAGCCCCAGCUAACCUUUCAGAUCUCCUAAUGACUUAACCAAUUUCCGGAGCUGAAUCUGCAGGAAGCAGACUGCACAGGUUGCUGGAAUGCAGAGGUUAAAUAACCAGAUUUUCUUAUCAGGCUUUUCUCAAAUUUUGUUCUGCAUGUAGAGAAAAUAUUUCAAUUUAUCUAAUUCCUACCAGAAGUUUUCAAUUUAUGUAUUUUGUUUAAUCAUUUCCAUGCCAUGGAGACCUAGCUGGAAAAAAGAAAAGUCUAAGAUGGUCCAAAA